rnacentral:misc_RNA from 1 species
UCUAGGGAUCCCGGAGCUCUUACUCCGGUGGCGGCCGGCUCGUCGAUGGCUCGACUCGAGUCGUCCGAUGUCCGGUCUCGCCUAGAUCAACGUCGACCUCGACGUGUGCAAGUGCGUCUCGCUGCUGAGUUUUGAGAGACCGGGCCAGGAGUGGCGCGGUGCUUCCCGUUGGGCGAGCGGAGCUCGCGUGCACCUUGAAAACUCCAUAGUUGCGAAAUGUGUGUUCUUCA